UAUGUCCAUAUCACGUUGAAACAUUGGUUCCCGUAUAUCACCGAAGUUAAGCAACGUCGAGCCUGAUCAGUACCUGUAGAGGGUGACCUCUUGGGAAUACUCGGUACUGUAA